CCUACGGGAGGCAGCAGUGAGGAAUAUUGGUCAAUGGUCGGGAGACUGAACCAGCCAAGCCGCGUGAGGGAUGAAGGUACAGAGUAUCGUAAACCUCUUUUGUCAGGGAACAAAGUCGGGGACGUGUCCCCGGCUGAGUGUACCUGAAGAAAAAGCACCGGCUAAAUCCGUGCCAGCAGCCGCGGUAAUACGGAGGAUGCGAGCGUUAUCCGGAUUUAUUGGGUUAAGGGGGUGCGCAGGCGGUCUGUUAAGUCAGGGGACAAGGCCCGGGGCACACCUCCGGCCCGCCGUUGAAACUGGCAGUCUCGAGUGGGAGAGAAGUAGGCGGAAUGCGCGGUGUAGCGGUGAAAUGCAUAGAUAUCACGCAGAACUCCGAUUGCGAAGGCAGCAUGCCGGCUCCAGACUGACGCUGAGGCACGAAAGCGUGGGUAUCGAACAGGAUUAGAUACCCGGGUAGUC
rnacentral:rRNA from 1 species